rnacentral:rRNA from 1 species
GAAUGCUGACAUAAGUAACGAUAAAGCGGGUGAAAAGCCCGCUCGCCGGAAGACCAAGGGUUCCUGUCCAACGUUAAUCGGGGCAGGGUGAGUCGACCCCUAAGGCGAGGCCGAAAGGCGUAGUCGAUGGGAAACGGGUUAAUAUUCCCGUACUUGGUGUUACUGCGAAGGGGGGACGGAGAAGGCUAUGUUGGCCGGGCGACGGUUGUCCCGGUUUAAGCGUGUAGGUGUGUGUUCCAGGUAAAUCCGGUUCACUUUAACACUGAGGCGUGACGACGAGGCACUACGGUGCUGAAGCAACAAAUGCCCUGCUUCCAGGAAAAGCCUCUAAGCAUCAGGUAACAUCAAAUCGUACCCCAAACCGACACAGGUGGUCAGGUAGAGAAUACCAAGGCGCUUGAGAGAACUCGGGUGAAGGAACUAGGCAAAAUGGUGCCGUAACUUCGGGAGAAGGCACGCUGACACGUAGGUGAAGUGAUUUACUCAUGGAGCUGAAGUCAGUCGAAGAUACCAGCUGGCUGCAACUGUUUAUUAAAAACACAGCACUGUGCAAACACGAAAGUGGACGUAUACGGUGUGACGCCUGCCCGGUGCCGGAAGGUUAAUUGAUGGGGUCAGCGCAAGCGAAGCUCCUGAUCGAAGCCCCGGUAAACGGCGGCCGUAACUAUAACGGUCCUAAGGUAGCGAAAUUCCUUGUCGGGUAAGUUCCGACCUGCACGAAUGGCGUAAUGAUGGCCAGGCUGUCUCCACCCGAGACUCAGUGAAAUUGAACUCGCUGUGAAGAUGCAGUGUACCCGCGGCAAGACGGAAAGACCCCGUGAACCUUUACUAUAGCUUGACACUGAACAUUGAGCCUUGAUGUGUAGGAUAGGUGGGAGGCUUUGAAGUGUGGACGCCAGUCUGCAUGGAGCCGACCUUGAAAUACCACCCUUUAAUGUUUGAUGUUCUAACGUGGACCCGUUACCCGGGUUGCGGACAGUGUCUGGUGGGUAGUUUGACUGGGGCGGUCUCCUCCUAAAGAGUAACGGAGGAGCACGAAGGUUGGCUAAUCCUGGUCGGACAUCAGGAGGUUAGUGCAAUGGCAUAAGCCAGCUUGACUGCGAGCGUGACGGCGCGAGCAGGUGCGAAAGCAGGUCAUAGUGAUCCGGUGGUUCUGAAUGGAAGGGCCAUCGCUCAACGGAUAAAAGGUACUCCGGGGAUAACAGGCUGAUACCGCCCAAGAGUUCAUAUCGACGGCGGUGUUUGGCACCUCGAUGUCGGCUCAUCACAUCCUGGGGCUGAAGUAGGUCCCAAGGGUAUGGCUGUUCGCCAUUUAAAGUGGUACGCGAGCUGGGUUUAGAACGUCGUGAGACAGUUCGGUCCCUAUCUGCCGUGGGCGCUGGAGAACUGAGGGGGGCUGCUCCUAGUACGAGAGGACCGGAGUGGACGCAUCACUGGUGUUCGGGUUGUCAUGCCAAUGGCACUGCCCGGUAGCUAAAUGCGGAAGAGAUAAGUGCUGAAAGCAUCUAAGCACGAAACUUGCCCCGAGAUGAGUUCUCCCUGAGACUUAGAG